GAACCAUCAAUGCAGGGCCCCUGAUUAGGUCAGGGGCCCUUCAUGGGGUGAUCGUGAUCUCCUCUUCAGCUAUUGUUUUUUAAUCCUGUAAAAAGUCUUCCAGCCACCAAUUGUUUUUUAAUGUCUGUUGUGAAACUCCUUGUCACUUAUUGUUUUUUCUUUUUCAGUCCUGUAAAAAGUCUUCCAGCCACAAAAUUGUUUUUUAAUCCUUUUUAUGACAUCCUUUGUCACUUAUUGUUUUUUCUUUUUUAGUCCUGUAAAAAGUCUUCCAGCCACCAAUUGUUUUUUAAUCCUUGUUAUGAAACCCCUCGUCACUAAUUGUUUUUUGUCAGAAGUCUUCCAGCCAACAAUUGUUUGUAAUGCCUGUUGUGAAACUCCUUGUCACUUAUUGUUUUUUUUUCUUUUUUAAUCCUGUCAGACGUCUUCCAGCCACCAAUUGUGUUUUUAAAACAACAUUUUUUUCAUCCUGUUAGGAAUCUGGCCACCAAUUGUGCAUGUCUGUGAUUACCUUUGAUUUUUCGAUUCUUUUUUCCUUCCUUUUUUAACAGCUAAACUGUAUCGCAGCUGCAAAAGAACAUGAACCGUUAGUACUUAGCGGGAGUGGCCCAUCUGUUUGCAUGACAUGUCAUUCUCAGCCCUGAAACCCUUCUGCUGAACGGAGGCGAAGACGACAGCUUUUACAGGUGUUUGUCGAGCAUUGUGGAUUAUGGAAUGUAAAUUUAUAUGUACUGUUAAAACAACAA